AUGUCGUCGGCGGCGGGGGCAUCAUCGGACGGCGGAGGGGAUAGGCCAUGGCAGUCAUACCACACCGCCUACACCAACGCCAAAGCUGGAAUGGAGGGAGUUGACAAAGAGAAGGUGCUGAAGGUGAUCUAUGAAAUGAGCAAGGGUUCUAAGUAUUUCGAAAAUGAGCAGAAGAAGGAGGCGAUUACCAAACUGAAAAUUGAGCAUCUGCGCGCGCAGUGUGCAAAGUUAACUGAUAAUGACAUAUCACAUUUUCAGAAGGUUGCUGAAAACAAAAUUUUGGAGUUGGAAGCUUCACGGGAUCUUUCAAAGAUAUGGCUCCACACUGACAUGGACGCCUUCUAUGCUGCUGUUGAGACAUUGGAAAAUCCAUCCUUGAAGGGAAAACCUUUGGCAGUAGGUAGCAUGUCUAUGAUAGCUACCGCCAGUUAUGAGGCGCGAAAGUUUGGAGUCCGUGCAGCGAUGCCUGGUUUUAUUGGAUGUAAACUAUGUCCUGACUUGGUUUUUGUCCGUCCAAAUUUUGAGAGAUACACUCAUUAUAGUGGAUUGGCAAGAAAAGUUUUCCAGAGGUAUGAUCCCAACUUCUUUGCAACAAGUCUAGAUGAAGCAUACCUCGAUAUUACAAAAGUCUGCAUUGAGAGAGGCAUUACAGGCGAGGAGGUUGCUUCUGAGCUUAGGGAUGCCGUUCUCCAAGAAACUGGUCUAACAUGUAGUGCUGGGGUUGCUCCAAACCGCAUGAUUGCAAAGGUUUGUUCUGAUAUUAACAAGCCUAAUGGACAAUUUAUUCUGCCAAAUGACCGGGAUGCUGUGACGACAUUUGUAUCAACGUUACCUAUAAGAAAGAUAGGUGGUAUAGGUAAGGUAACAGAACAGAUGUUACACCAGGUUCUUGGCAUCAGUACAUGCCAGGAGAUGCUACAAAAGGCUGCUUUCCUAUGUGCUCUUUUUUCUGAAGGCUCAACAGAUUUCUUUCUUUCGGUUGGCCUUGGAUUAGGAGGUACAGAAACUCCUGAGCAUAGGCUAAGAAAAAGUAUGAGUUGCGAGCGAACUUUCUCUGCGACAAACGAUUCUCGUUUGUUUUUCGAGAAGUUAGACAACCUCGCCGAAAAUUUAGCCGAUGACUUGCAAAAGGAGGGCUUGAAGGGAAGAACGCUAACACUCAAACUAAAGACUGCAGCUUUUGAGGUUAGGACGAGAGCAGCAACUGCACAAAACUAUAUCAGCUCCAAGGAAGACAUCCUGAUCUACGCUAAGAAAUUGCUUAAGGCUGAAAUGCCUCUUUCUUUGAGAUUGAUGGGCCUGCGAAUGUCUCACUUCAGUGGUGAGAAGGAUGAUUCAACUAGCCCAACACAAAAGACACUAGAUCGGUUUUUUCAUUCCUCAGAUAUUAACUCAAAUACCAAUGGAACGAAUGGUGCAAGUUGCAUUGAUGUCUCAGGAGGGCAUAACGAUUGUAGUGAUGCGACAACGAAGGAUGAGUAUUCGAUACAUGAUGCAGAGAAAGAUGUCUCCAUAGAUCAACAGUCCUCACAUGAUGAGAACUCAUCUGUUCCAGAAGGAGCGAGCUCGGUCAAUUAUGAUAACGAGGCCACCUCAAGCAGUUGGAAGGUUACGCAGACCGAGAAGUUUGAUGAGUUGGGCGACUUGACAAGCUCCAAAGCUUGUGCUUCGUCGAGUAAACCUGGUCAGCAUUUCUGGGUAGAUGGCUAUAUUUGCUCCCUCUGCGGAUUUGAGCUACCUCCAUGUUUUGAGGAGGAAAGGCAGGAACAUUCGGAUUUCCACUUGGCUGAAAUGUUGCAACAGGAAGAGGCGGUAGACAACACAGCCCGCCUCUCGAAGGAAAGGUUGGCUGAACGGCCAUGCUCUACUACUAGCACGCCCACGGCCAAGAAGAAACUGAAGUCCUCCAAAGAGGGAAAACAUAUACCCAUUGAUUCUUUCUUCCUCAAGUGUAACAAGAAGUUGUAA
rnacentral:rRNA from 1 species